GCGACUUGGGCUUUUGGGCGUUCCUGCUGCUUCGUUUUCUUAGAAGUGUCUGCUUUUAGUGAAGUGUGUUUCUCUGGUUUAUUUAUUUGUUGUCGUCUUUACCAACGCCAGUGUCGCCGGGUCGGAAGGUAUUGUCAGCCCCUCGCUGGCCCGCCUGCAGUCGCCUUUAGGAGCUAAGGCGUUGAGUCUCACCAGGGCCAGCACAGUGCCACCUUCCACUGGGCUCGCCCCAGUUAGGACUGCGAACCACCCUGCCAGCCCUUGCACUUUGCGCAGAGGAAAUUAAAGUCUCCUCCAAAGAAAACCUAAGUAAUUCAAAAUCACCGCAAUAGGACUGCUAUUGAGACGAACCCAGCUGGUUUUGCAGUACAGCUCGAGGGCAUGCGUGUCUAAAUAGAAAUUCCUUGUAAACUUGCUUAUUCUUUACACUUUUAAGCAAUGGGAAAUCUGGAGAGCUCUAGUAACUGGCACCUGGCAUCAUAUCUUUUUUAUCUAUGGGCUUGGCUCUAUGUCUUUUAUCGUGGUUUACUGUGUUGAAUCUUUGCCCUCUGUAGAUGAAGGUGCCGAAGUGACACAUUCCAAAAGUGAAUCGGAAACUCCAGUCAGUAACAUUCCCGUUUUGUUUUUCUUUAUAUAACAAAACGUCUGAGAAGGUUUUCACUAUUCAGUUUCAUCAUCAUCGUUAUUAUUUAGCUUUUUGAGACAGGGUCUCUAUGUAGCCCUGACUGUCUUGGAACUCUCCCUGCAGACCGGACAAGCGAUGAACUCACAGAGAUCCUCCAGCCUCUGCCUCGGGAGUGCUGGGAUUAGUUUGUUAUAUUGUACAGUAAAUUGUCUCUUGACAAGA
rnacentral:lncRNA from 1 species